AUGUAACUGCCAUAGGGAUAAGAAGCCCGGAAAGUUCUCCGUCCCCUUGGAGCCGUGGAAGAGCACGAGACAGCCCAAGAGAAAUGUGUGCUACAAACAGCAGUGAGAUAUGAGAAGGACCACCCGAGCCCUUAGGGUCCCGAUGAUGCUACCACAAGUCCCAAAUGCUGGACACGCAGCUUCGGAGCUGCCUUUUGGGACCCAGAUCAAGACUAGAACACUCAGCUCCUCUAGUACCAUGACUACCUGCAGGCUGCCAUGUCCCAGCAUGUUGGACUGACCCUCUGAUACUGUUGGCCUUGAACUCACAGCAAUCGUCUUGGCUCAACUUCCUGAGUGCUGAGUGUACGGGAGUGCAUCAUGCCCAGCUUUGGGUUAUUCAGAAUACAGACUGCUAAUAAACGUGUUUUCAUUAGGAGAUGAGAAGAGGGAGUAUUCUGUGGUUUGGUACAAAUGCAAUUUUUUGCUUACCCACAAAUCCACAACACAGAACCAUGAGCAGAGGUUAGAAACAGAUGGGAUGCCGUUAAAGGUGUGGCUCUGCGAUAACCCAUGCUGCCUGGUUUCGAACGGACAGCAGUAGGUUUCAACGUGUCUUGGCAUCUAUGAACCAGUGCACCGAUUUCCACAUCCCAGUGGAAGAAAACUAGCACCACCUGGCCCGUGCAUUCUUUAUUCAUUUAACAAAUACAGAAAGAAAAUCUGCAAUCGUCUAUCAAAACUAUAUCUUACCAGGAGUUUGAAAGGUAUUUAUUUAAAAAGUUGUAUUCACAGUCUGUUAUGUACAAAGUAGUAGUACCCAUAGUAGCAGAAGCCAGGCAGUGACCAAGGCAGAGUAAAUGACACCCAGAAAUCCUCACCCUGGCCCUUGCCACUCUGCAUUGGCCUUCAUUCACCAAGUAUGUGUUUGAAUAGAAGUGUUUUCACAGAAAACUUCCUGCUGUGCAGGCUACACUCCAGGGCCAGAGGGAGCCCCUGCGUCCAAGAGAGGAACAUUGCUUCCCCACACUCCUGGAAACAGCUUUGACAUUCAAGAAAGGGUUCAUUUCAGCACCGUGGUGUGCUUUGUCAUGUGUAAUUGGGGUUCCCUAUCAGAUGAGUAGACAGAUGAGGUACAGAAGACCCUGAGAUGUAGCAGCCUGUGGCUCUCUAGCUGGCACCGAGGGCUGGCAAGAACUAAAAGCAGUGCCUUUUCUUGUUCUUUAACUGCCCAUGGUUGGAUAAUCCAAAGACAGGAGAAGACCCCAGGAUUGCUUUUGGACUCUAACUUAUCAUCCAGAUACAGCAUUAUUUCCAUUCUAAGGAUGAAAGCAAACAGUCAGUUUCCAGGCUAUCCUCAAACUCAACAUUAAGGACCUACUGGGAGUGAGGAGGGAUGGGUCAGGUUGUUCUGCAUAGAUCACCCACCCUAAGGCUCAUUUAGAGAGUGGGCUUGCACAGGGCGCUGGUGGCCCACGCCUUUAAUCCCAGCAUGCACUCGGGAGGCAGAGACAGGCAGAUUUCUGUACCUUACAGCAUUCCUUUUGUAACCCUCAGUGGUCACUGGCCAAAGUGCUCAAUUGGUUUGGUCCUCAGCACAGUACACUGGGCACAGUGCUGUGUGUGGAUAAUCCCAGCUCUUGGGAGGUGAAAAUUUAAGAUCACCCUCAGCUACAUAAUGAGUGUGAGGAUAGCCUGGGCUU